GCUGGCGGCAUGCCUAACACAUGCAAGUCGAACGCGAAAGCCUUCGGGUGAGUAGAGUGGCGGACGGGUGAGUAAUGCGUGGGGAUCUGCCCUGUAGUGGGGAACAACCCGGGGAAACUCGGGCUAAUACCGCAUACGUCCUACGGGAGAAAGGGGGCCUUCGGGCUCUCGCUGCAGGAUGAGCCCACGUCCGAUUAGCUUGUUGGUGGGGUAACGGCCUACCAAGGCGACGAUCGGUAGCUGGUCUGAGAGGAUGACCAGCCACACUGGGACUGAGACACGGACCAGACUCCUACGGGAGGCAGCAGUGGGGAAUAUUGGACAAUGGGCGAAAGCCUGAUCCAAGCAAUGCCGCGUGUGUGAAGAAGGCCUGCGGGUUGUAAAGCACUUACAGUGGGGAAGAAAAGCCAAGGGUUAAUACCCCUAGGUCUAGACGUUACCCACAGAAGAAGCACCGGCUAACUCCGUGACCAGCAGCCGCGGUAAUACGGAGGGUGCAAGCGUUAAUCGGAAUUACUGGGCGUAAAGCGCACGUAGGCGGUGAGGUCAGUCAGAUGUGAAAGCCCA
rnacentral:rRNA from 1 species